rnacentral:misc_RNA from 1 species
CGUUUAACUUCAAUCCCACUUUCCAAACAUCACAAAUGUAGCCUUCGUUAAGGAAUUGAUCGGCAAAGUAUGGCCAGCACAAGAAAGGGACCCCAUUGCAUACACUUUCCAAAGUGGAGUUCCAACCACAGUGGCUCAGGAAGCAGGCAAUAGAAGGGUGACUAAGAACCUUUUGUUGAGAUGUCCAACCAACCAGCCGCCCGCGGGUGCCUAUUCUUUCUUGAAAUCCAUCUGGAUAGGCAUUUGUUUCGUUGACAAUAUCUGGUCUCACAACCCACAGGAAUGGCCUACAAGAGAUUUCAAGCCCCAGUGCUAAUUCUUGGAAUUGAGUUUUGUCAAAAACGGUGAAGCUACCAAAUGCAACAUAAAUGACUGAUUUAGGUGGCUGUUGGUCCAGCCAUUUCAAGCAACUUGAGUCCUCUGGCCAGAAGUGUCCUACUGUGUCUCCGAGUCGGUUGCUUGCCAGAAGUGGCCCUAUUGGCAGAACAUUUGGGGCAAAAGUGAAUGCUCCAGGCUCAAGAUCAUAUACUGAGUUACAAACUAUCCAAUCAGCCGCUUUGACAAUCUCAUUGGUUUCAACCAUAUAAUCAAAUACAAUUUUCUGAGUGGUAAAGUCACCAACGCAGGCCCAUAUUAAAUUUGCAGUGUUCACAGCAGGCAUUGCUGGAGUCAACUGAAACAUCUGAUUCUUCAAUGGAGUUCCUUAAGAGAAUAAAAAAUUCAAAAGGGCAAGUCAUUGCAUGUCCUGCAAAACUAUUUAUGUUUUGUAGCAGUUAUAAUCCAAACAUGCCAUUCCUU